rnacentral:rRNA from 1 species
AUUGAACGCUGGCGGCAGGCCUAACACAUGCAAGUCGAACGAGUGGCGGACGGGUGAGUAAUGUCUGGGAAACUGCCUGAUGGAGGGGGCUAACUACUGGAAACGGUAGCUAAUACCGCAUACUAUCGGAUGUGCCCAGAUGGGAUUAGCUUGUUGGUGGGGUAAAGGCUCACCAAGGCGACGAUCCCUAGCUGGUCUGAGAGGAUGACCAGCCACAUUGGAACGGAGACAAGGUCCAGACUCCUACGGGAGGCAGCAGUGGGGAAUAUUGCACAAUGGGCGCAAGCCUUAUACAGCCAUGCCGCGUGUAUGAAGAAGGCCUUCGGGUUGUAAAGUACUUUCAGCGGGGAGGCGUUACCCGCAGAAGAAGCACCGGCUAACUCCGUGCCAGCAGCCGCGGUAAUUC